GCGGGUCUAGCUCAGAGGAGAGCGUGUGCUUAGCAGGCACGAGGUCCUGGGUUCAAUCCCUAGUGCCUCCG
rnacentral:tRNA from 1 species